GGGUGGGUAACGCGUGAGUAACCUGCCCUUGACUUUGGGAUAACUUCAGGAAACUGGGGCUAAUACCGGAUAGGAGCUCCUGCUGCAUGGUGGGGGUUGGAAAGUUUCGGCGGUUGGGGAUGGACUCGCGGCUUAUCAGCUUGUUGGUGGGGUAGUGGCUUACCAAGGCUUUGACGGGUAGCCGGCCUGAGAGGGUGACCGGCCACAUUGGGACUGAGAUACGGCCCAG
rnacentral:rRNA from 1 species